GUGUAGUUUGAACAUGAGUUUGAGGAUGAACUCGUACAGAUGUGAGGAGUCCAGGAUGAGCGGCAUGAGGGGGGCUAUCCUGCACUGACCCGUGGAGGUCAUGGAGUUAGACCGGGUCGGGUCAAGGGUCGCAAACACUGUGGGAAGAAAAAAA